CUGCAGAAGAAGCACCGGUCUAACUCCGUGCCAGCAGUCCGCGGUAAUACGGAGGGUGCGAGCGUUAAUCGGUAAUUACUGGGCGUUAAAGCGCAUGCAGGUGGUUUGUUAAGUCAGAUGUGAAAGCCCGGGGGCUCCNAACCCUCGGAAUUGCAUUUGAAACUGGCAAACUAGAGUACUGUAGAGGGGGGUAGAAUUUCAGGUGUAGCGGUGAAAUGCGUAGAGAUCUGAAGGAAUACCGGUGGCGAAGGCGGCCCCCUGGACAGAUACUGACACUCAGAUGCGAAAGCGUGGGGAGCAAACAGGAUUAGAUACCCUGGUAG
rnacentral:rRNA from 1 species